UACGUAGGCAGCAAGCGUUGUUCGGAGUUACUGGGCGUAAAGGGUGUGUAGGCGGUUCUUAAGUUUGGUGUGAAAUCUCCCGGCUCAACUGGGAGGGUGCGCCGAAUACUGAGGGACUAGAGUACGGGAGAGGAAAGUGGAAUUCCAGGUGUAGCGGUGAAAUGCGUAGAUAUCUGGAGGAACACCGGUGGCGAAGGCGGCAUCCUGGACCGGUAUUGACGCUGAGGCGCGAAAGCUAGGGGAGCAAACGGG
rnacentral:rRNA from 1 species